CAUCACAAUUCGUCCCUCUCUCUCUAUAACCGAAACCUCCCUAUUUUCGGUUUAUCACCAUCAUCACUUUACACCCUAAGGAGGAACCAUAUCUAAACUGACAACUAUGUCGAACUCCGUGGCUGCGUCUUUGACUGGAUUCUCUACUGAUGCAAUCAAAGAAAUCUGAAAUUGAGGAAAUGGUGAAGGCGUUGGAGGGUUUGAACCCGAAUCCGAACCCGGCUGUUUAUCUUGAUAAGGUUUCCUUACAAAUUUCGCCACGGGUACAUUUCUUGUUAGAGCAGCAAAGGAUGAUUAAACUAUGCCGGCGGAAAGAUUUUAAUGCAUCAUUUUUUUUCGCGUGAGUUUUGAAUCUGAACUUGAUAGUUUUAGUUUUAAGAAUCAAUGCAUUUGACUUUCCUUCUAAUGUUGUUUGGAGAUGAUAAAGACUCCCCUGCAUCUAAACUCUUGGAUUACGGUUAUGUUACAUAAACUGGAUAACAUCUUUAGUUGUUGAGAAGAUGAUCAAAUACGAAGGGCGCAAAAAAGGUUUGAAUUAAA